AAGCUGAUUGCAUGGGAUGAAAAAGGGAUGGAACAUGGUGGAGAACUGCAGCCACACACAAGAAAAGAAGCUGCUUGGUCUAUGCUCUCUGCCAUGUAGAAGAGGACAUGGAGAAGCAAAGAGGAUGAGGUCGAUGGCUCUGGAGCUGCAGUCUGGCACAAUCCUAUACUUAGCGACUUGGGUCCGUAUUCCAUGCCAAGAUGAGAACAUGUAGAAGACCCUGGUUGGAGAAGACCUGUGCAGUUACUUGUUCUUGGAAUCUCCAUAGUUUCCCUUUUCCCCUAGCAACCAUGAUGCAUCUUUCCUGUGAUGAGUUCAUCUGAGAUCAGGUCCAAGUUCCAUGCCAUAUGGGAGAAGGCAAGUAGAAGCUGCAGUCCUGAUCACUCCGGAUCACCAGGCUGCAAACAGUUGUGCACCUGGCGACAUGUAUUUUGAUUCCAAGUCACAAAGUGCAGAACAGUCUUACAUAAGAAGUAAAUGAGGUUCACUUUCAAGGCCCAUAGAAAGGACAUUGGCAAUGAGAACCAUCAUGACUCAACAAUAGGCCCAUUGAUGAGUAAUACUCCGCUCAACCCUGUGUUUGGGCUGUAACAUUUCCAGGUAGAAGUCCAAAUGACUGAAUUGUGCUCUUUGGGGGGACUGUACUCACU